rnacentral:tRNA from 1 species
GGUGAUGUAGCUCAGUCGGUAGAGCAAAGGACUGAAAAUCCUUGUGUCGGUGGUUCGAUCCCACUCAUCACCACUC